rnacentral:lncRNA from 1 species
CAACAGUGGUGCAAAAAGCUUGGUGAGAGAGUAAUUAAUACCCUAUGAAUUCUGCAGCUAGAAUGCAUGGAACACAAGAUGGCUUUUUGAGGCCUUGCAGAAACCUACGAUCUGGGUUGGCGACUGGACAAUGUUGGGGAGCAGUUGAUGUCGGUCACUAAUUGGCUAGACAUGGAACUGCACAAGCCGUACUGUAGGCUCCUUUUGUUGAUUAUUUUGGUGGUGUGGAUUGUAUUUUUUCUACUUGCGUUUGUUUCUAGUUUUGUGUGUUGAAGACUUUUGGAAUAUCAUCAAUAUGUUUGGGGUGUAAUUUUCUGGUUG